CCUACGGGUGGCUGCAGUGGGGAAUAUUGGACAAUGGGCGAAAGCCUGAUCCAGCCAUGCCGCGUGUGUGAAGAAGGCCUUCGGGUUGUAAAGCACUUUCAGUGGGGAAGAAAGCCUUGGGGCUAAUACCCUCGAGGAAGGACAUCACCCACAGAAGAAGCACCGGCUAACUCCGUGCCAGCAGCCGCGGUAAUACGGAGGGUGCGAGCGUUAAUCGGAAUUACGGGGCGUAAAGCGCGCGUAGGCGGUCUGAUAAGCCGGUUGUGAAAGCCCCGGGCUCAACCUGGGAACGGCAUCCGGAACUGUCAGGCUAGAGUGCAGGAGAGGAAGGUAGAAUUCCCGGUGUAGCGGUGAAAUGCGUAGAGAUCGGGAGGAAUACCAGUGGCGAAGGCGGUCUUCUGGACUGACACUGACGCUGAGGUGCGAAAGCGUGGGUAGCAAACAGGAUUAGAUACCCCUGUAGUC
rnacentral:rRNA from 1 species